GGAAAAACAAAAAUCAAAAGCGGGAUCCUUCAAAGUCUUUGUGCUCCCAGCAUUUUUCCAGCCCGAGUCGAAGUGGGAACUGACAGUGUAAAAGGAAAUGUGAAGUUGCCGAAAGCCACAGCACACAAUUGAAGACGAUAAAUUUUUAUUUGAUUUCAUGAACCCUCAUAGCCUACUCUUUUUAAAGAAUGUAAAUUGCUCCCCAAGGCUGGUAGGAUGCAGGAUCCUAUUAGAGGACACAGGAUUCCAUUACCUUAAAUGUUUAUAGAUUUUUUUCCCCUAUAACUUUCCACCUAAGUUAUUAAAAUUCUAACAUUAACUGUGAAAGAACUCAAUGAAGGGUGUAGGUCUGAGAUUGCUGUCUUCCCCCCGGUGAUUUUCAUUAUCUGCAAAAGUAGACAACUUUUGUUCAGGGAAAAAAAAAAGAGCAGUCCUUAAUAGUACUCGAAUUGAAUGUUCAAGAAGUCUGCACCGCGGGAGUUAGAAUAGAUUUUAAGGUUAUAAGGCUCACCUUAGAUUAUCCAUGGAGUUAAAAAUGUUUUGGCUGAAGUUCACAAAGUAAGCCCAGAGAAAAUGCUUAAGUUGUCCCCACUUGAAUUUCUCUGAGUGUGUGUUGCUGUGUUUGCACGCUGGCAGUCAUGACAUCCAUGUGACCAGUGACAGGUCAUUGUGUGUCUCGUUUGUACAAGUGUGUAUGGCCGAGCCUGUGGCUCUCUACAUGUCUUCCUCAGGGCUGGAUCCUUGUCUGUACUCUCCUGUAUCCCUCAUCCUGGCUUCUCCUUGAGGAGCUGUCUGUGGUGUCUGUUGUCAGCUUGCAGGCACGCCCAUUCAUUUCUUUCUUGCAUAGAGAUCUCUAUGACCUACAAACAGUGAGGAACAAGACAAAAAAGGGCAAACUCUAUGGGGGGGGCGGGGUUACUAUUCAAACUUCACUGCCCUGGAAGCCCCUGUGCGUUUAGUUAAUGUAACUUUAAAAAGAAACAAACAAUGAUUGGUUGUUGCAACUGACAGGGAGAUCUGCAUUUGAAGAGUCCCACAGCAGAGACCCUGCUAUUAUAACCUAUUUCUGGGUAAUGUUUGCUCCUUGCGGAUCUUGUCACACCAGAAAAACAAAUAAAUAAAUCACUACUGUGAACUUACUAGUAUGUAACCUUAUCAUAUCCCAUUAUAAAUAAAACAUGCCUCGUUUUUAAGCCC
rnacentral:lncRNA from 1 species